rnacentral:rRNA from 1 species
CCUACGGGAGGCAGCAGUGAGGAAUAUUGGUCAAUGGACGAGAGUCUGAACCAGCCAAGUAGCGUGAAGGAUGACUGCCCUAUGGGUUGUAAACUUCUUUUAUAUGGGAAUAAAACGUUCCACGUGUGGGAUUUUGUAUGUACCAUAUGAAUAAGGAUCGGCUAACUCCGUGCCAGCAGCCGCGGUAAUACGGAGGAUCCGAGCGUUAUCCGGAUUUAUUGGGUUUAAAGGGAGCGUAGGUGGAUUGUUAAGUCAGUUGUGAAAGUUUGCGGCUCAACCGUAAAAUUGCAGUUGAAACUGGCAGUCUUGAGUACAGUAGAGGUGGGCGGAAUUCGUGGUGUAGCGGUGAAAUGCUUAGAUAUCACGAAGAACUCCGAUUGCGAAGGCAGUUCACUGGACUGCAACUGACAUUGAUGCUCGAAAGUGUGGGUAUCAAACAGGAUUAGAUACCCGUGUAGUC